rnacentral:rRNA from 1 species
AGCGAACGCUGGCGGCGUGCUUAACACAUGCAAGUCGAACGAGGGCUGUAGCAAUACAGCUACUCGUGGCGAACGGGUGCGUAACACGUGGAUAACCUUCCUUCAAGUGGGGAAUAACCCAGUGAAAAUUGGGCUAAUACCGCAUAACAUAACGAGGGCACAUGCUCUUGUUCUCAAAGCCGCAAGGCGCUAGAAGAGGGAUCCGCGGCCGAUUAGCUUGUUGGCGGGGUAACGGCCCACCAAGGCAUUGAUCGGUAGCCGGACUGAGAG